GAUGAACGCUGGCGGCGUGCUUAACACAUGCAAGUCGAACGGAAAGGCCCCAGCUUGCUGGGGUACUCGAGUGGCGAACGGGUGAGUAACACGUGGGUGCUCUGCCCUGCACUUUGGGAUAAGCUUGGGAAACUGGGUCAAAUACCGAAUAUGACCACUCCUUGGAUGUUGUGGUGGAAAGCUUUUGCGGUGUGGGAUGAGCCUGCGGCCUAUCAGCUUGUUGGUGGGGUAAUGGGCGACCAAGGCGGCGACGGGUAUCCGGCUUGAGAGGGGGUACGGACACAUUGGGACUGAGAUACGGCCCAGACUCCUACGGGAGGCAGCAGUGGGGAAUAUUGCACAAUGGGCGCAAGCCUGAUGCAGCGACGCCGCGUGGGGGAUGAAGGCCUUCGGGUUGUAAACUCCUUUCGCUAUCGACGAAGCCACUUGUGGUGACGGUAGGUAGAUAAGAAGCACCGGCUAACUACGUGCCAGCAGCCGCCGUAA
rnacentral:rRNA from 1 species